GGCCACAUCCCGGGCCUCGCAGACAGCCUCCCGCGCGGGGGAUACUUGAGCGCCCUUCCCUGCAGGGACGGCGGAGGAUGCAGACACAGGCGGUGGCUGGGAGAGCCGGCAGAUGAAGGCUGGAAGAGUUGGCAAGACUCGGCCUGGGCUGCACAGCAGUUAGUGGCAGAGCUGGGACUGAAGUCCAGGUCUCGCCUUGUCCGUGUUAUUUUCCACCAUCUGAUACAUCAAAACACGGACGGAGGGUCACUAUGUUAUGAAUCUGGCCCUGUUGCCAGGCGCGCAUACGUUAUUAACCAUCUACCAUGUGCCAGGCUGUGAGCUUCUUGAGAAGCAUUAUCAUGUGGGGAUUAAGAGCACAGGCUCUGGAGCCCUGCCACCUGGACCAGAUCCCAGCUCUGCCGCUUCUCAGCUGUGUCCAACCCAACAAUGUCUCCAAACGGAGUGUCGGGGUUGAAGAUGGCCUGCAACACUGCCUGAUCAUUUGGAGUCCCCAUGGUACUCAACUGCAAAAUCCAAAAAGAUUGGGAGGAACUCGUUAGAAGCCAACUCUUGACCACCCGUGGAUGAAGAAGGGGGAUAUGUACAAAGUAAAGGAACUAUUCCUUUGUCUUCUUGACCCCUUCCUCAUAUCCAGAGUUCAUUAGGUCCUGAACAUACAUCACUGAUGAAUAAGGGGAGAAAAUAUGGUUAAGAGAGACAGUGUAGAGUGGGGCCUGAGUGUAGAGUGGGAAAUGAUUUCACGAUUCCCCCUUAAAAGAAAGGACUGUGGAAGGGACUUUGUAAUCAGGUCACGGGCCACGCCCCUCCCAUUAGGCCACCUCAGCCAAAGCCAAAAGAAAGUUCAACCAUGUGCAGCA